UACAGAGGGUGCAAGCGUUAAUCGGAAUUACUGGGCGUAAAGCGUGCGUAGACGGUUACAUAAGUCGGGUGUGAAAGCCCCGGGCUCAACCUGGGAAUUGCAUUCGAGACUGCGUAGCUAGGGUGCGGAAGAGGGAAGCGGAAUUUCCGGUGUAGCGGUGAAAUGCGUAGAUAUCGGAAGGAACACCGGUGGCGAAAGCGGCGCGCUGGACCUCUUCUGACGCUGAGGCGCGAAAGCCAGGGGAGCAAACGGG
rnacentral:rRNA from 1 species